UGAUAAUUCUUUUAAUUGGUGUAUUGAUAAUCUUUUUAUGAUUUUUUUACUUUUUGCUGUAUGCGUUGUAAAAAAGAAUUGCAUAUAAUAGCUAUGCAGGUUGUUUUUCAUUCAGGUUGUGUAUUUGAUAUAUUGAGAUAUGGCUAAAUUUUAGGGAAGACUCUACCGGAUUUUCGGUUGAGUUAUUAGAUAUGCUAGUUAACUAUAGAAACCCAAUACCAAAUUGGGCUCCAACCACUAGAGGAAUUG
rnacentral:misc_RNA from 1 species